rnacentral:rRNA from 1 species
CCCUUAGAUGUUCUGGGCCGCACGCGCGCUACACUGAUGCAUUCAACGAGUCUAAAACCUACUCUGAUAGGGGUGGGUAAUCUUUUGAAUGUGCAUCGUGAUUGGGAUAGAUGAUUGCAAUUUUUCAUCUUCAACGAGGAAUGCCUAGUAAACGCAAGUCAUCAGCUUGCAUUGAUUACGUCCCUGCCCUUUGUACACACCGCCCGUCGCUCCUACCGAUUGAAUGAUCCGAUGAAUAUCAUAGACUGAGAGUAUAAGCAGGUUCGCCUGUCUUUGCUUCUCGGGAAGUGAAGUAAAUCUUAUCAUUUAGAGGAAGGAGAAGUCGUAACA